AUGAGGUCUGUGCAUGAACCAAAAAAAAAAGCCAUUGGUGCACCUUUCUAUCCAAAGGAAACUUAUAUUGCCAUAGAUAGAGAGCUUCACAAGGGACUGAAAUUGGAAUUCAUAGAUGCUUUCUUUUACUCUUUCAGCUUGAUCACACAAAAAGAGUCCUUUAACAACAGGUUAUGCAAAAUUUUACCACUGAGGAGUUUUGUAUGA